UACGUAGGGUGCGAGCGUUAAUCGGAAUUACUGGGCGUAAAGCGUGCGCAGGCGGUUCGUUAAGUCAGCUGUGAAAGCCCCGGGCUCAACCUGGGAAUUGCGGUUGAAACUGGCGAACUAGAAUCUGGCAGAGGGGGGUGGAAUUCCACGUGUAGCAGUGAAAUGCGUAGAGAUGUGGAGGAACACCAGUGGCGAAGGCGACUUUUUGGCCUGUAACUGACGCUGAGGCGCGAAAGCGUGGGGAGCAAACAGG
rnacentral:rRNA from 1 species